UACGAAGGGGGCGAGCGUUGUUCGGAAUUACUGGGCGUAAAGGGCGCGUAGGCGGCGACUCAAGUUAGAUGUGAAAGUCCUGGGCUUAACCUGGGGACUGCAUUUGAUACUGGGUUGCUUGAAUUCGGGAGAGGAUAGCGGAAUUCCCAGUGUAGAGGUGAAAUUCGUAGAUAUUCGCAAGAACACCAGUGGCGAAGGCGGCUCACUGGCCCGAUACUGACGCUGAGGCACGAAAGCGUGGGGAGCAAACAGG
rnacentral:rRNA from 1 species